UGACCUCGGAUCAGGUAGCGAGACCCGCUGAACUUAAGCAUAUCAAUAAGCGGAGGA
rnacentral:rRNA from 1 species